rnacentral:rRNA from 1 species
AAUGAACGCUGGCGGCAGGCCUAACACAUGCAAGUCGAGCGGAUCCUUCGGGAUUAGUGGCGGACGGGUGAGUAACGCGUGGGAACAUACCCUUUGGUACGGAAUAGCCUCGGGAAACUGGGAGUAAUACCGUAUGUGGUCGAGAGACGAAAGAUUUAUCGCCAAAGGAUUGGCCCGCGUUGGAUUAGGUAGUUGGUGGGGUAAUGGCCCACCAAGCCGACGAUCCAUAGCUGGUUUGAGAGGAUGAUCAGCCACACUGGGACUGAGACACGGCCCAGACUCCUACGGGAGGCAGCAGUGGGGAAUCUUAGACAAUGGGGGAAACCCUGAUCUAGCCAUGCCGCGUGAUCGAUGAAGGCCUUAGGGUUGUAAAGAUUUUUCAGGUGGGAAGAUAAUGACUGUACCACCAGAAGAAGCCCCGGCUAACUCCGUGCCAGCCGCCGCCGUAA